rnacentral:rRNA from 1 species
GCCAGCAGCCGCGGUAAUACGUAGGGUGCGAGCGUUGUCCGGAAUUAUUGGGCGUAAAGAGCUCGUAGGCGGUCUGUCGCGUCUGCUGUGAAAACCCGAGGCUCAACCUCGGGCCUGCAGUGGGUACGGGCAGACUAGAGUGCGGUAGGGGAGAAUGGAAUUCCUGGCGUAGCGGUGGAAUGCGCAGAUAUCAGGAGGAACACCGAUGGCGAAGGCAGUUCUCUGGGCCGUAACUGACGCCGAGGAGCGAAAGCGUGGGGAGCGAACAGGAUUAGAUACCCUGGUAGUCCACGCCGUAAACGUUGGGCGCUAGAUGUGGGGAUCAUUCCACGGUUUCCGUGUCGCAGCUAACGCAUUAAGCGCCCCGCCUGGGGAGUACGGCCGCAAGGCUAAAACUCAAAGGAAUUGACGGGGGCCCGCACAAGCGGCGGAGCAUGCGGAUUAAUUCGAUGCAACGCGAAGAACCUUACCAAGGCUUGACAUACACGAGAACGCCCUAGAAAUAGGGAACUCUUUGGACACUCGUGAACAGGUGGUGCAUGGUUGUCGUCAGCUCGUGUCGUGAGAUGCUGGGUUAAGUCCCGCAACGAGCGCAACCCUCGUUCUAUGUUGCCAGCGCGUAAUGGCGGGAACUCAUAGGAGACUGCCGGGGUUAACUCGGAGGAAGGUGGGGAUGACGUCAAAUCAUCAUGCCCCUUAUGUCUUGGGCUUCACGCAUGCUACAAUGGCCGGUACAAAGGGCUGCAAUACCGUAAGGUGGAGCGAAUCCCAAAAAGCCGGUCUCAGUUCGGAUUGAGGUCUGCAACUCGACCUCAUGAAGUCGGAGUCGCUAGUAAUCGCAGAUCAGCAACGCUGCGGUGAAUACGUUCCCGGGCCUUGUACACACCGCCCGUG